rnacentral:rRNA from 1 species
AUACGGGGGGUGCAAGCGUUAAUCGGAAUUACUGGGCGUAAAGCGCGCGUAGGCGGUUAAAUAAGUUGGAUGUGAAAUCCCCGGGCUCAACCUGGGAACUGCAUUCAAAACUGUUUAACUAGAGUAUGGUAGAGGGAAGUGGAAUUCCAGGUGUAGAGGUGAAAUGCGUAGAUUUCCGGAGGAACACCAGUGGCGAAGGCGACUUCCUGGACCAAUACAGACGCUGAGGUGCGAAAGCGUGGGUAGCAAACAGGAUUAGAUACCCCGGUAGUCC